rnacentral:tRNA from 1 species
AUAAUAAGAAGCAUGAAUGCAUUUAGUUUCGACCUAAAAGAUAGUUAAUUUUAACUCUUAUUU